rnacentral:rRNA from 1 species
UACGGAGGGUGCGAGUGUUGUCCGGAAUCAUUGGGCGUAAAGGGCGCGUAGGUGGCCCCUCAAGCGUGCGGUGAAAGUCAGGGGCUCAACCCCUGAUCGGCCGUGCGAACUGGGGAGCUUGAGCACUGUAGAGGCAGGCGGAAUUCCGGGUGUAGCGGUGGAAUGCGUAGAGAUCCGGAAGAACACCGGUGGCGAAGGCGGCCUGCUGGGCAGUUUUGCUGACACUGAGGCGCGACAGCGUGGGGAGCAAACAGG